rnacentral:rRNA from 1 species
CCUACGGGUGGCAGCAGUGAGGAAUAUUGGUCAAUGGGCGUAAGCCUGAACCAGCCAAGUCGCGUGAGGGAUGAAGGUUCUAUGGAUCGUAAACCUCUUUUAUAAGGGAAUAAAGUGCGGGACGUGUCCCGUUUUGUAUGUACCUUAUGAAUAAGGAUCGGCUAACUCCGUGCCAGCAGCCGCGGUAAUACGGAGGAUCCGAGCGUUAUCCGGAUUUAUUGGGUUUAAAGGGUGCGUAGGCGGCCUUUUAAGUCAGCGGUGAAAGUCUGUGGCUCAACCAUAGAAUUGCCGUUGAAACUGGGAGUCUUGAGUAUGUGUGAGGCAGGCGGAAUGCGUGGUGUAGCGGUGAAAUGCUUAGAUAUCACGCAGAACCCCGAUUGCGAAGGCAGUCUGCCAGGCCAUGACUGACGCUGAUGCACGAAAGCGUGGGGAUCGAACAGGAUUAGAUACCCGGGUAGUC